CGGAAUCGGCACAAACCAUAACCUCGCCGACAGAGAAUGGAGGGGCUGAGAUCAGAUCGGUUGGGCUAAAACAAUAUCGGGGGAGAAAAUAUGGAAAACUCAGAGAAAUUUUUGAGGGUCCAUUGGUUGGUGAAAUUCUUCAUAAUACUUAGGUUGCGCAAACGGAAUACCGCCGGAAAACGCCAGAUUAUAUACAAAAGGAGACUCCGGGUUUGAG
rnacentral:misc_RNA from 1 species